AUGAAGCCAGUGAGAGUGACCCUAGGAUGCUCAUGCUGGCACAUGGUUCAUCGAUCCACUCCUCACUCACAGCAACUUGGCCGGUUGUUGCGCGUUACAUACCAUCACCAGACACCAGCUGUGAUGUGGAGAGAGUUAAGAACAAAACUACUACACGCCUCAUGUGCCGUCCGUCGUGCUCUGAUCACUGUUUGCAAACAGCAGGCAUGGGACGCUGCUGAGUUUGUGCUAGAUCUACCAUGGCGGAGUAGCUGGCUGUACAUUCUCUUCGGAACAGGGGAAACACCGUCUGUCGCACUAGAAAACGGAAUCAUGGACAAAAACCAUGACCAUCAUAUGUGUACCAAUCACUGCCGGUUAAAACAGGCAAGGGCAUCGACCGACGACGACGGUGGCGGCUAG
rnacentral:rRNA from 1 species